rnacentral:lncRNA from 1 species
CUUGUGCCACGGUGGCCCAAAUGUCAGUCAACCAGACAUGUCUUCUGAGAGGUAAGUUUUUGAAAAAUACUAGACUUUUCUCAAAUGUAUUUCUUUACAGGAAUAAAAAGAAAGCUAAUUUUGCAUGAGCAUGCAGGAAGUCUGCAGACAGACAUUCUACAUAGUCCCUUGGGGACUCAGUAGAAGUGGAAUCAAGACCAACCCAAGCCCAACAAGGCAGCUCCGCUGGUUAAUGCCUCCCAGAUCUGUCAUCUGUGAUAAAGAGCCUCGCUGUAGCUGAGGAGCUGGCCAAGAACCUUUCCCAGUUAGCCAAGUUCGUGAAGAAGUCACAUGUGGUGAAUAUAUUAUCAUCAGAAUGCGGAGCAAUGAAAUGUAAACAGAUAGGAAUCGUCACUAAAGCUCCAACUGCAGCCUCCGGGUGCCAUAGCUUUUGCACCAUCCAUUUGCACCAUCUCUGCAGUAAGUCCUAGCUCAAGCCUUACUCCAAAGUACAAAUUAGCAUAGCAGCUCAGUCAACAAUGCCUCCGAGCUUCUGGAAAGAAAGAUGCUCAGUCACCAUAGACCCAGAAUUAAUGAAAAGUCACAGAAAUAAUAGCUCCAUUCUCUACUUGCUUCUGAACCUCAAAUCAGUGGUUGGCAACAAGGAUGUCUGCAUCAUCUGUAUUGACCUGCUCCCCAGAUUAAUACCGAAGCACUGCAAUUUCUUGAGGAUUAUCCACCUAGGAGGAAAUGAUACGCUGGCCCAUCCAUAGUAGUCAAGGUUUCUUGGAAGAGAAGAAUGAGAUUGGAUCUGAGAAAAUGUGGCUGGGAACCACCAUCUCAGAUGGUAGAAACCACUCAGAAGGAUCAACUGCUGCAGACGGGAAGAGGAGCAACCUCGUGAAUAAUUUCGUGACAGGAUAUUGCAGGAGGGACUUUGUCCAAAUGUGUGCAGGGUAGUUGGCUACAGCAACAAGGAUGACGAACACAGAUGAAUUGAUCAGGAUGUAACCAUUCAAAGUUGAGAGGAUUAGAGGACUUCUCCGAGGCGGCUCCAAUGGAUGCCAGCAGAGUUAAAGUGUCCAAUGGAGAGAAGAGAAGGCUUGGGAAAUCCAGAGUCCAUUCAUUCAUCGCCCUCCUCCUAGAACAACAAAAGCGAGCCCCAGUACUCAUCAGCAUGGACUCUGUGUGUAGUCAUCUCCCUUAGUUUCAGAGGUUCCUGCCUACAGCAAAACUUUAGAGGCUUAGAGUUUAACGGUCAUAGCUUAUUCACCUCCAACUGUGUCCUAGUUCAAGAGAAACACUUCACAUAUCUGUAGGGAGAAGAUAAUGAACCAAGGAUACAAGUUAAGCCUUAGCUAAGACCUGUUACUCAGGAAAAAGAGCUAAAACAAGCUGCUUAGAUCAGCACCAAUGUUAGGUAGAGAGAAAAAGAAACGCUGCAUAGAAAUCUUAAGGUUCACAUGUGCUCCAGGCUGGGUCAACAACUUCUAAUUUCCUUUGCCAACCAACCAUGUCUUUGACAGAAAUGAUCCUUCUACAUAGACCACAGAGGGAUCCAAUGGAGGUUUCUCUUCCUGAAUUUGGGGAUUCAGAAUCUGGACAAAUUCCUUUCCAUCAAAGUCCAGUACAAAAGUAGUACCAUGGCAGUCCCUGCAGGGACUUGCAUCACUUUCCCUAGAGAUAUCAAGAGAAUUUUUAGUGAUAAGAAUAUGGCACAAAAUGAGAAAUCCCAUUACUCUUAAGAGAAUCUCUUCCUUCUCAAAGGCACCUGAUUAAUACAUAUAGUACUAUCAGUAAGGCUGAGCAAAAGGAUACUGAUGUUCUGAGUGAUCUUAAAUCAUGUAAUAAUAACUUUAUUCGUAGUAUAGAACGGAAUAUUCCCUAUUAGUAAUCAGUUCCUUUGCCAGAUCCUCAUAGUAUCUUAGUCACUGUUUUAUUGUUAUGAAGAGAAACUUUGACCACAGCACCUCUUAGAAAAAAGGAAGCAUUUAAUCGGGACUUCCUUAUGGUUUCACAGUUUUACAUAAUUGUCAACAUGGCAGAGAACAUGGGGGCACGCAAACAGACAUGGUGCUGGAGAAGUAGCGGAGAAUAUACAGCAACAUAUAGAUACAAAAUAUAGAUACAUAUAGAUACAGAAUAUAGAUACAUAUAGCUACAUAUAGAUCUGCAGGCAGCAGGAAGAGACUGGGACAAGGCCAUACCUUCUAAGGCUUCUCAAGGAGUGUCACUUCCUGAUGACCAAGCAUUCAAGUGUAUGAGCUUAUGGGAGCCAUUCUUAUUCAAGCCACCACACAUAGCAAAGCUGAUAAUGUCAUUUUCUGAAUUAACCAGGCCAAGGCACACUUCUUAGCAACAUGGUUACCUGGUAACCAGAGAUUUUUCUCAUCCCAUGAGAGAUUUCAUUCAAGAACUGAUCUUCUAACAGUUUUGUCUCUCUUAAGAAUGCUACAGACAGGGUGGGGUGAGGCACAGUGCUGAAGCCCCUCAAGUUUCCCAGAGGGAUGAGUCCAUGAAAGACGAAAAUCAUGUGGUCACACUGAGCAUAGACUUCACAAGCAUCAUGCUAGGAUUCCAUUUUCUUUCUCAACACAAUGAUAAAUUCUUCUUCCAAUAAGCAGAAAAUCAUCCAAUGGGAAAAAAAAAUAAAACCAACUAACUUGCAGUCCUUUGGAACAGUUUCAUAGCUUACAGGAUGGCUUCAUAACCCUGGGGACACUCGUUUUGACAUGAAAACUUCCUUCAGAACAGGAAUUCUGAUCCAACAUGUGCUCAGACAUCAUUUCAGUCACUUGCAAAUGAACAAGAAAGCUCAUGUAAAUGAGGAGGCUCAACUCCCAGGCCUGGUGAGUGGGUAAGACAUUCCUCUGCUGGGUUUUGAAGGCUGUCUGAAACCAUCGGCUGACAUCCUUCUCUGUGUGCAUGUAUGCACUAUCUACGGGAAAUUCAGCUCCAACCGGUUGUCUCUACAGCUCCCUUAAUCUUCUCCUCCCUCCUCCUGGCAUUGGCAUGUGUCCCAGGACUGCAGCGAGGAGUGCUUACCAACAAAGGUGCUGGCAUCUGCAUUUGUUUCACAGCCACAAACCUAAUGGUUCCAUGAUUUUGGCGAGCAAAACUGUCAAAAUGCCUGAGCACAAGAGAUCACAAGAUGAGCCAAGGCAUAGUGUGCAUGCCUUCCUUCCCAGCACUCGGAAGGCAGAGGCAAGGGGAUCUCUGUGGGUUCAAGGCCAGCCUGAAUCACAAGGUGUACUGGGGAUUCUUUUUUAUUGUUUUCCUUUUGCUAUCUGGAAUAGUUUGAGAUUGUAUUUGAUCAGUGCAUUAAACAAC